rnacentral:rRNA from 1 species
GAUGAACGCUGGCGGCGUGCCUAAUACAUGCAAGUCGAGCGAACGGACGAGAAGCUUGCUUCUCUGAUGUUAGCGGCGGACGGGUGAGUAACACGUGGAUAACCUACCUAUAAGACUGGGAUAACUUCGGGAAACCGUAGCUAAUACCGGAUAAUAUUUUGAACCGCACGGUUCAAAAGUGAAAGACGGUCUUGCUGUCACUUAUAGAUGGAUCCGCGCUGCAUUAGCUAGUUGGUAAGGUAACGGCUUACCAAGGCAACGAUGCAUAGCCGACCUGAGAGGGUGAUCGGCCACACUGGAACUGAGACACGGUCCAGACUCCUACGGGAGGCAGCAGUAGGGAAUCUUCCGCAAUGGGCGAAAGCCUGACGGAGCAACGCCGCGUGAGUGAUGAAGGUCUUCGGAUCGUAAAACUCUGUUAUUAGGGAAGAACAUAUGUGUAAGUAACUGUGCACAUCUUGACGGUACCUAAUCAGAAAGCCACGGCUAACUACGUG